rnacentral:rRNA from 1 species
AUUGAACGCUGGCGGCAUGCCUUACACAUGCAAGUCGAACGGCAGCACGGGAGCAAUCCUGGUGGCGAGUGGCGAACGGGUGAGUAAAGUAUCGGAACGUGCCCAGUCGUGGGGGAUAACGUAGCGAAAGUUACGCUAAUACCGCAUACGAUCUAUGGAUGAAAGCGGGGGAUCGCAAGACCUCGCGCGAUUGGAGCGGCCGAUAUCAGAUUAGGUAGUGGGUGGGGUAAAGGCUCACCAAGCCGACGAUCUGUAGCUGGUCUGAGAGGACAACCAGCCAGACUGGGACUGAGACACGGCCCAGACUCCUACGGGAGGCAGCAGUGGGUAAUUUUGGACAAUGGGCGAAAGCCUGAUCCAGCCAUGCGGCGUGCAGGAUGAAGGCGUUCGGGUUGUAAACUGCUUUUGGACGUAACGAAAAGGUUUGGCCUAAUAAGCUGAGCUCAUGACGGUACCGUAAGAAUAAGCACCGGCUAACUACGUGCCAGCCGCCGCCGUAA